AUGCAAUGUGUGUGUAUUUUUUUAAAGAUUUUUAUUUUUAGCAAUCUCUACACUGUUUGUGGGGCCUGAACAUACAAACCCAAGAUCAAGAGUUGCAUGCUUUACCAACUGAGCCAGUCAAGCACCCUCAGUGUAUAUUCGGGCUCAAUAUAACUAUGGAAGCCAUCUGAAUAAAAAUUUGAGACAUCUGAUACAGGAUUCUAUCAUCAUCGUCGUCAUCAUCAGCAUCAUUAUUACUAGUACUAUUAUUUUGAUUGGAAGCAUCUUAUAGUAGUAGGAAAAUAGUAAAGUUACGUUUAUUGAAAAGAAUGAAAUUGAAGCAAUCCUGACAAAUGUUGAGCAAAUGGCUUUAACACUGUAAUAAAUUGAAGUAUCCUUA